rnacentral:miRNA from 14 species
UGUGCACAUGACUAUAUGUGUGUGUAUGUCCUUUUGUGUAUAUGAAUAUACAUAUACAUAAACACAUAACACACAAACAAGAACACUCACAC